rnacentral:rRNA from 1 species
AAUCGCCUUGAACAUAUUAGCAUGGAAUAAUAAUAUAGGAUCUUGGUUCUAUUUUGUUGGUUUCUAGAGCUAAGAUAAUGAUUAAUAGGGACAAUUGGGGGCAUUCGUAUUAACGCGUCAGGGGUGGAAUUCUUGGAUUGCGUUACGACGAACUACUGCGAAAGCAUUUGCCAAGGAUGGUUCCAUUGAUCAAGAACGAAAGUGAGGGGAUCGAAGGCGAUUAGAUACCGUCGUAGUCUUCACCAUAAACUAUGCCAACUAGAGAUGGGGUGUCGUUCUUUUCUGACUCACUCCGCACCUUAUGAGAAAUCAAAGUCUUUGGGUUCCGGGGGGAGUAUGGUCGCAAGGCUGAAACUUAAAGGAAUUGACGGAAGGGCACCACCAGGAGUGGAGCCUGCGGCUUAAUUUGACUCAACACGGGAAAACCCACCAGGUCCAGACAUAGUAAGGAUUGACAGAUUGAUAGCUCUUCCUUGAUUCUAUGGGUGGUGGUGCAUGGCCGUUCUUAGUUGGUGGAGUGAUUUGUCUGCUUAAUUGCGUUAACGAACGAGACCUUAACCUGCUAAAUAGAUCAUCCUAUCUUCGGAUAAGAUGCUUUCUUCUUAGAGGGACUUUGUGUUUUUCAGCGCAAGGGAGUUUGAGGCAAUAACAGGUCUGUGAUGCCCUUAGAUGUUCUGGGCUGCACGCGCGCUACACUGAUGCGUUCAACGAGUGUAUCACCUUGUCCGACAGGAUUGGGUAAUCUUUUGAACACGCAUCGUGAUGGGGAUAGAUUAUUGCAAUUAUUAGUCUUCAACGAGGAAUUCCUAGUAAUGAUGGGUCAUCAGUUCAUCGUGAUUACGUCCCUGCCCUUUGUACACACCGCCCGUCGCUCCUACCGAUUGAGCAAUCCGGUGAAUACUUCGGACCGGUUGCAUAAUUGGUUCGCCAAUUUUGUGACUGGAAAGUCGAGUGAACCUUAUUGCUUAGAGGAAGGAGAAGUCGUAACAAGGUUUCCGUAG